rnacentral:rRNA from 1 species
GAUGAACGCUGGCGGCGUGCCUAAUACAUGCAAGUCGAGCGAACAGACGAGAAGCUUGCUCCUCUGACGUUAGCGGCGGACGGGUGAGUAACACGUGGAUAACCUACCUAUAAGACUGGGAUAACUUCGGGAAACCGGAGCUACUACCGGAUAAUAUAUUGAACCGCAUGGUUCAAUAGUGAAAGACGGUUUUGCUGUCACUUAUAGCUGGAUCCGCGCCGCAUUAGCUAGUUGGUAAGGUAACGGCUUACCAAGGCAACGAUGCGUAGCCGACCUGAGAGGGUGAUCGGCCACACUGGAACUGAGACACGGUCCAGACUCCUACGGGAGGCAGCAGUAGGGAAUCUUCCGCGAUGGGCGAAAGCUUGACGGAGCAACGCCGCGUGAGUGAUGAAGGCCUUCGGAUCGUAAAACUCUGUUAUUAGGGAAGAACAAAUGUGUAAGUAACUAUGCACGUCUUGACGGUACCUAAUCAGAAAGCCACGGCUAACUACGUG